rnacentral:rRNA from 1 species
AUUGAACGCUGGCGGCAUGCUUUACACAUGCAAGUCGAACGGUAACAGGCCUUCGGGUGCUGACGAGUGGCGAACGGGUGAGUAAUGCAUCGGAACGUGCCCAGAGGUGGGGAAUAACGCAGCGAAAGCUGUGCUAAUACCGCAUGUGAUCUGAGGAUGAAAGCGGGGGACCAAGCAGCAAUGUUUGGCCUCGCGCCUCUGGAGCGGCCGAUGUCAGAUUAGGUAGUUGGUGGGGUAAAGGCCUACCAAGCCGACGAUCUGUAGCUGGUCUGAGAGGACGACCAGCCACACUGGGACUGAGACACGGCCCAGACUCCUAAGGGAGGCAGCAGUGGGGAAUUUUGGACAAUGGGCGCAAGCCUGAUCCAGCAAUGCCGCGUGCGGGAAGAAGGCCUUCGGGUUGUAAACCGCUUUUGUACGGAACGAAAAGGCUCUGGCUAAUACCUGGGGCUGAUGACGGUACCGUAAGAAUAAGCACCGGCUAACUACGUG